rnacentral:lncRNA from 1 species
UAGGAUGGUGUUAAUAAGUUAUAGCGAAGUAUAAAAGUUUUUGUAUAAAUAGGUUCAUUUGUAUAGAAAUGGAGAACUCCAAAUUUUAUUAACCUGUGUUACCUAAAUUUAAAAUGAUUUCAGGUCAUAUGUUACAUCUUUGAUGGUGUGAACAAAUAUAUUUUAGGUUUUCCCCAUAAAAUUAAAUAUGUCAUGACAUAUUAAUCCCCUCCAUAUAUUGUUUUAUUUUAUUUAUUCCAUCUUCUGUUAUUUAACAUCCCCUCCACGAGUAAGUAUGCACAUGCAACGCACGUAUAACCCCAAAAAUUUAACUAUAUAAACAUCUCGUAAAGCAAAGUACAAGAAGGUUUUUACAAGAGCUACUGGAGUUACUCAUAUACUAUAUUAACAUUUCAUUAUCAAAACACAUUAAAACACGUCCAAAACAACUGGAUUAAUAAACCAAACAUCAAGUGCAUACAAAGAUUGAGCUCAUUUGAAUGUUUAUGUGAAAGUCAGUAAAUUAAACAUUGUAAUAUAAAACUAACAACAUGCAUGAAAACCUGAAAUCGGUGGUUCAAAGUUACAAAAUCAACUCAUGAAUAAUAUCCAAUGAAGUAAUUGGCAUGGUAACCUGGACAUCCAAGCACACACCAUGUACGAUGUGGGGGCAUGGAGUACAUUGGCCACACGGUGUGGUAUUAGAAUAAUAAGCCAAAGUAUUCUAAUCAACAAUACUUGCAAUGAAUUGGUCAUAUAUAUGCUAUUUUAUUUAAACACAUACAUACCAAGAAAAUGUCCGCAAUCUGGUAACACGACCAAAGCAUUAACGCUCUAAAUUCAUGUUGAAACUUCACAAACAAAACUCGGCUCUAUCUUGGCAAUUCUGGUUCAUCCAGAUUUAGGAGAGUAUAAUCUAUUAAUAGAACACAACACAAUUAGCAUCAUAAACUUUCAAC